AACAGAAGUUGUGUUCCACUUACCGGUGGCCCUAAGAUAAUGUGAAGAGUCCUCUAGAGACCUUGGUGCUGUCUGCUGACUCCACGUCCAAGGUUCAGCAUGGAAAACAAGGGCAGCAUUGAUCCUUAUGGAAUAUCUGCCCUUUGGAAAUGGACCCAGGAACUGCAUUAGCAUGAGGUUUGCUGUCAUGAGUAUGAAAUUUGCUCUCACUAAACUCCUGCAGAACUGCUACUUCCACUCCUGUAAGAAAACACAGAAGGAUCCUGUUGCAGCGUCGUUCUUCCU